UACGGAGGAUCCGAGCGUUAUCCGGAUUUAUUGGGUUUAAAGGGUGCGCAGGCGGGGGAUUAAGUCGGCGGUGAAAUUUUGCAGCUCAACUGUAAAAGUGCCUUCGAAACUGGUUUCCUUGAGUGUAGAUGAAGUAGGCGGAAUUUGUGGUGUAGCGGUGAAAUGCAUAGAUAUCACGAGGAACUCCGAUUGCGCAGGCAGCUUACUAAACCACUACUGACGCUCAGGCACGAAGGCGUGGGGAUCAAACAGGAUUAGAUACCCCGGUAGUCCCUGA
rnacentral:rRNA from 1 species